ensembl:lncRNA
CCUCUGCUCUGACCUGUCGUCUCUCACUGCCCCACACCGCUGCUCCACCUGGCACCACCACUGGCAGUUCCCAGAACAGAACAUGAGCUGCAGCUGUGGGAUGUGGGACGCCGCCUCUACAUGGCCUGACGAGUGGUGCCAUGUCCGCGCCCAGGAUCGGAACCCUGGGCCGCCGCAGCGGAGCGCGUGAACUUAACCACUUGGCCAUGGGGCCGGCCCCUAUUAUUAACUUCUUAUGUUAGUAUGAUAGAUUUGCGCAGAGAACACGAUACUGCACCGGAAGAGUGAGGCAGCUUCUAGUUUGUUCUUGGAAGCACUUGCACAGUGACUCUGAGCUGCCAUGUAGACAGUGUGACUUCUCUGAAGCCGCCAUCCUGUGAGGAAGCUCAAACUAGCCCAUGCAGAGAGCCCACACCUUGAGAAAGAGAUGCCCGGCCAGCCCCUGCUUGCUCCAGCUCCUCCCCUCUGACACUGUUCCAGUUCUGGUUACUAUCUGACAACAAAGAAUGAGCUGGAACCACCCAGCCAAGACUUCCCGGAGUUCCUGAUUUAUAGAGUCUGUGGAAGAUGAUAAAACAAUUGUUGUUUUAAGUGAUUAAGUUUUGGGGUGAUUUAUUUCAUAGCAAUAUUUGUCAGAACAUCAAAACAUACUAUAUAUAAAGUUUCAAUAAUUAAAACAAUAUAGUACCAGCACACAAAUAGACCAAUAGAAGAGAAAAUCCAAAAAUGGACCCAAAUACAUAAAGAAUUUAGCAUACAUAAAAAGUGGCAUCUCAAGUCAGUUGGUCUUUUUAAUAAAUGGUGUUGCAACAACUGGGUACCUAUCUCCAAAAAAUAAAGUUGGAUCUAUACUUUACAUCAUAUAUCAAAAUAAACUCCAAAUGGACCAAAGAUUUAAACAUAAAAAAUCAAACCUAUGAAAGAACUAGAAGAACACGUGGAUGAAUUCCCUCAUAACUGUGGAUUGGGUAAGGUUUCUAACUAAGCCUCAAAAUCCAUAGACUUUAAACGAAAAGAUUAAUCAAAUUUACUACAUAUAAAAAUCCUUACCUAACAUAUGAUCUAUCUUGGAAAAUGUUCCAUGUGCACUUGAGAAGAAUGUGUAUUCUGUUGCUUUUGGAUGGAAUGUUCUAUAAAUAUCCGUUAAGUCCAUCUGGUCUGAUGUGUCAUUUGAGGCCAAUAUUUCCUUGCUGGUUUUCUGUCUGGGUGAUCUAUCCAUUGAUGUAAGUAGAGUAUUCAAGUCCCCUGCUAUUAUUGUAUUGUUGUCUAUUUCUCCCUUUAGGUCUGUUAAUAAUUGCUUUAUAUAUUUGGGUGCUCCUAUGUUGGGUGAAUAAUAUUUACAAAUGUUUCAUUCUCUUUUGGAUUGACCCCUUUAUUGUCAUGUAACACCCUUCUUUGUCUCUUAUCACAGUCUUUCUUUUAAAGUUAAUUUGUCUGAUAUAAAUAUAGCUACUCCAGUUCUGUUUUGGUUUCGAUUUGCAUGGAAUAUCUUUUUCCAUCCUUUCACUUUCAGUCUGUGUGUGUCCUUACAUCUAAGUGAGUCUCUUGUAGGCAAGUCUUAAUAAAUUUAAUAGGAUUGAAAUCACAUCAGGCAUCUUUUCUGACCACAAUGCUAUAAAACUAAAAAUUAAUUACGUGAAUAAAACUGGAAAAUUCACAAAUAUGUGGAGACUGAAGAAUAUGCCACUGAAUAACCAAUGGGUCAAAGAAGAAAUCAAACGAGAAAUAAAAAAUCUUGAGACAAAUAAAAAUGGAAAUGUAACAUACCAAAAUUUAUAAAUGAGAUGCAGCAAAGGCAGUUCCAAGAGGAAAGUACAUAACAAUAAAUGCCUACCUCAAGAAACAAGAAAAGUCUCAAAUAAGCAACCUAACUUUAUACUUUAGGAACUAUAAAAAGAACAAAUGAAGCCCGAAGUUAGUAGGAGGAGGGAAAUAACGAAGAGUAGAGCAGAAAUAAAGGAAACAGACACUAAAAAGACAAUAUAAAAGAUCAAUGAAACUAAGAGUCGAUUCUUUGAAAUCAAAAUUGACAAACCUUUAGCUAGAUUCAUUCAGAAAACGGGAGAAAGAGAACUCAAAUAAAUAGAGUCAGAAAUGAAAGAAGAGACAUUACAGCUGAUAACACAGAAAUACAAAAUAUCAUAAGAGACUACUGUGAACAAUUAUCUGCCAACAAAUUGGACAACUUAGAAGAAAUGGAUAAACUCCUAGAAACAUACAACCUACCAAGACUGAAUCAUGAUGAAACAGAAAAUCUGAACAGACAGAUUACUAGUAAGGAGAUUGAAUCAGUAAUCAAAAACCUCCCAACAAACAAAAGUCCAGGACCAGAUGGCUUCCCUGGUGAAUUCAAAGAAGAUUUAAUACGUAUCCUCAAACUUCCAAAAAAUAGAAGAAGGGGAAACUCUUCCAAACUCAUUUUAUGAUGCCAGCAUUACCCUGAUAUCAAACCCAGACAAGGAUGCCACAAGAAAAGAAAAUUACAGGCCAAUAUCCCUGAUGAGC